AACCGAUGUAAACAAACAUCGCUUCCCGGAAAAAUCCCGAAUUGUUGCUAGAAUUCCGUUUAACUCAGGUUUCCCACACGUAUUACCAAAUAAGCUGUUACCGGUAUGCAUGUGUACUCAAAUCAUUUGCUCAGCUUUACUGCUCACUCGUGUAGAGAGGUGCCGCCUGGGAGUAAUCUGUUUUGCAAUGGCCAAGCUUCACUCAGGAAUCUGCAUUGCAAAGGAAAGAUCUGAUUUUCGUUCUCUAGUGAUAGAGGAUCGGUUAACUGCCCCGAGAAGUUACCUUAGAAAAAGGGAGAAUGAUAACUCCGAGAGUGCUCCGAAUUCGCAUGACAGUUUCAAUCCCGAUAUUCCUCGGCAUGUACCCUUCAAAACGCUUCAGCAAUGUUCUUACAUUUGCUUAGAGUGCUUUACAUUCGCAGCUUUUCAAGAUACGUAAACGGAAGAGAAGGGCGCAAAGAAAAAAAAACAACCCUCAAACCAGUCCCACGAGCAAAUUUGUCGUAUCUGUUUAGCCUGUUCGAAAAUCGUCUUAAUGAACAAUCGACAAAAUUUUCCCUAUCAGGGAUCCUAGAGGAAUCUUGCAUACUAUCGUUUGAAAGUAUAAGUUUGUACGGAUCGGUUACCAUUUUGCCAAUGAUUAGUACCAAGCUUCUAAAGCUGUCAUCAAGACUGUCUGCCGUUCAAGGCUUGAUAUCUAUCAAUGCGGAAGGUAUAUGAAUCGAUUUGUCGCAUUGACAAAAAUAGUCCCAAGGGUUGUAAAUCCUAAAAGAUAUUAAAAAUGUAAGGCUUUCAUGGCAAUUGAAAACAAAAUCAGUGCGUUACUUCUGCGAAUUCAUUUUCUGCAGCUAUACUGCUCGGCUUAAGGGACAUUGUUAGAAUUUGGUCAAUCACAGUAGGCUGUAGAAUAACCCAUAGUCCCCAAUAGCCACCGCAUAGUAACCAUAGCUACAGCUAUGGUUAGCAUAGGAAUCAUCAUAGUAGCCUGAGUGCUAAUUUAGAGACAAGCUCUCUCUUCUCGACGAACCAGCGACCAUAACAGACGUGCUUGCCCAGAACAGAACAUAAAGUGGUCCUAUCGAACCGGAUAUUGAGACGGUAAGAAUCAAACACAAUAUUCUGAAUGAGAAUAUUAAGAGAUGCCUUAAAACGAGGGUUUUGGCGAUACAAUACUGCAUUAAAGUGAACCUAAUAUAAGAAAUUAAAAGAUGCCUUACCAUGAGGGUUUCGGCGAUACAAUAUUGCAAUAAAGUGAAUCUAAAUAUUCAAGAGAUGCCA